CCUAGUCGGAUUCCUUUCCCCUGGUCACCAUGGGAACUCCUCAGUUUGUUUGUUUGUUUGUUUGUUUGAAAGGCUUACAUAGUCACUACCAAAUAUCAAUAACAGUGAUGACACACAUAAUGUUUUAUAUUGUCAACAACGUAUAAGUUCCUUUUUCUCUUGAUCAAAACAAAACAAAACAAAACCCGACUUCACAAAGGCUUUUGUGAGUGAGAAAAAUCUGAGGGUCUGAUACACUGCGGAGUAUGUAGAAGGUACUGGAGUUCCACAGUGUCCUGACAGACAGCCUGGGUGAGCAUGUUAAUUACUCCUAUCUGGAGUUUUGCGGCUGAUAAACCUUCUGACUGAUAAACCUUCGCUUACUCAAAACUGAAAGCAGACUCAGCUCAUCGCAGAAAGAACCAGGCAAGGAGCCAAAGAGGAAGUCCUCUGUGAAGAAAGGCAACAGGGGCCAUGGCGCCCAGCUUGCUCCCAAGAAUCUCACCCUAGAAGGAUGUGGAGAGCGCCCGGAUUACAGCCAAAGGGCACACAACCCCGCCAAAUGCUCCGGUCUGGCUCCCCUGUCUGCCCUUUGUCCCCGGUGUAAUUAAGUUACUUCAAAACUCUUCGUGCCUCCCUUUCCUCAUCUGUGACGUGCUGAUGAUAAGACAUCUUGUUCGCCUCGAGGACGCAUUUCACGAUUAAAUGGCAAACAUAUUUGGGGAAAGUACAGAAGGGCAGCUGAACCUGGCGGGCGUGUCAGAGGUUCCCUCCGCCGAGCCCACACAAGCUGGACUCGCACCCGGUCCCCACACCUAGCCCACCCCACCGACUCCACAGCGAGGAAGCCCGGGGCUUGUCCACCGAGCCGGGAAGGGAAACUUGGCGAGCGGGACCUGACCCCCCCAGCGUUCGUGCCCAGAGUGCCCCCAGAGUUAGCGCCCGGAGUGCCCGAUGGCUUGAGCGGGAGAGGCAGGGCUGGUAGAAGAGGGAAGAGGGAGGGGAGGAGGAGGACUCACGCGCGACCGCAUCCAGGCCAGACAGUGAGAGCAGCCCGAGCAGGACCAAGGCCACGAGGGGAGCCAUCGCUACUGGAGCGGUGCUGGCGGUGGAAUGAGAGCUCGGCUCCCUGCCCGCAUUUAUAGCCCACGUCCAGGCUGCCAAUCAGAACCCUGCCCGCCAGGCCCGUCACCCGUCUCUUAGCGAGC
rnacentral:lncRNA from 1 species